rnacentral:tRNA from 1 species
GUAGAUAUAGUUUAAUAAAAACAUUAGAUUGUGAAUCUAACAAUAGAAGCCUAAAUCUUCCUGUCUACC